AUUGAACGCUGGCGGCAUGCCUUACACAUGCAAGUCGAACGGCAGCACGGGUGCUUGCACCUGGUGGCGAGUGGCGAACGGGUGAGUAAUACAUCGGAACGUACCUUAUCGUGGGGGAUAACGCAGCGAAAGUUGCUCUAAUACCGCAAACGCCCUGAGGGGGAAAGCGGGGGAUCGCAAGACCUCGCGCGAUUAGAGCGGCCGAUGCCUGAUUAGCUUGUUGGUGGGGUAAAAGCCCACCAAGGCGACGAUCAGUAGCUGGUCUGAGAGGACGAUCAGCCACACUGGGACUGAGACACGGCCCAGACUCCUACGGGAGGCAGCAGUGGGGAAUUUUGGACAAUGGGGGCAACCCUGAUCCAGCAAUGCCGCGUGAGUGAAGAAGGCCUUCGGGUUGUAAAGCUCUUUUGUCAGGGAAGAAACACCGGCUCUAACACAGUCUGGGAAUGACGGUACCUGAAGAAUAAGCACCGGCUAACUACGUGCCAGCAGCCGCGGUAA
rnacentral:rRNA from 1 species